UACAGAGGGUGCAAGCGUUAAUCGGAAUUACUGGGCGUAAAGCGCACGUAGGUGGUUUGUUAAGCCAGCUGUGAAAUCCCCGGGCUCAACCUGGGCACUGCAGUUGGAACUGGCAAGCUAGAGUAGGGUAGAGGGGUGUGGAAUUCCAGGUGUAGCGGUGAAAUGCGUAGAUAUCUGGAGGAACAUCAGUGGCGAAGGCGACACCCUGGACUCAUACUGACGCUCAGGCACGAAAGCGUGGGGAGCAAACAGG
rnacentral:rRNA from 1 species